CAAAGCAGAAACUUUCAAAAUCACGAUCAGAGGGAAAGGGAAAACAAAAAGGCGGCAAACAUUGAAAGAGAGCACCAGCAAGGAAAUCAAAUCCAUCCCCGGAUAUGAAAUAUAAAAAUAACAAAUAUAAUAAUUUCCAAAACCCUUCCCCUUAAGUUCUCUCUUCAUAUCCGCCCACUCCCCCCUCUCAUCAUCCAGAGAGAGAGAGAGAGAGAGAGAGAGUUUCCGUGUCUCGAUCGUGCUCUUACUUCUCAGAAAAUCAGCGAAAACGAGUUGGCGUUGAUGAGAAUUUAAGCGCAGAGAAAAAACGAUUAGAUACACCGUGCUGGAAUCGAUCGAGCUAAGUUUUUUUAGCGUAAUUUAAAUUACCGAGCAUUAUUUUUUCGUGUUUUUGUUUUUCUUCUGAAUAUGUCUCUGCUUUAUUUUUUUAAAACGGCGACGAGAAGUUAAUAUCAGUUUUUGUUAGAAAUC